UGAUCGGGGUUGCGGACAGUGUCUGGUGGGUAGUUUGACUGGGGCGGUCUCCUCCUAAAGAGUAACGGAGGAGCACGAAGGUUGGCUAAUCCUGGUCGGACAUCAGGAGGUUAGUGCAAUGGCAUAAGCCAGCUUGACUGCGAGCGUGACGGCGCGAGCAGGUGCGAAAGCAGGUCAUAGUGAUCCGGUGGUUCUGAAUGGAAGGGCCAUCGCUCAACGGAUAAAAGGUACUCCGGGGAUAACAGGCUGAUACCGCCCAAGAGUUCAUAUCGACGGCGGUGUUUGGCACCUCGAUGUCGGCUCAUCACAUCCUGGGGCUGAAGUAGGUCCCAAGGGUAUGGCUGUUCGCCAUUUAAAGUGGUACGCGAGCUGGGUUUAGAACGUCGUGAGACAGUUCGGUCCCUAUCUGCCGUGGGCGCUGGAGAACUGAGGGGGGCUGCUCCUAGUACGAGAGGACCGGAGUGGACGCAUCACUGGUGUUCGGGUUGUCAUGCCAAUGGCACUGCCCGGUAGCUAAAUGCGGAAGAGAUAAGUGCUGAAAGCAUCUAAGCACGAAACUUGCCCCGAGAUGAGUUCUCCCUGAGACUUUAAGUCUCCUGAAGGAAC
rnacentral:rRNA from 1 species